CACAUUGAAUUGAGCACCAGGGACAGCAACGGCCCAAUUUUUAAAUCUCCAGAGACAUAUAUGGAUGGCUUACUGCAUUAUGUAUCUGUAAUAAGUGACCGAGCAGGCCUUCGACUUCUCAUUGAUGACCAGCCUCUGAGAAGAAAUCAAAGGCUACCAGGCUUUUCAGCUUCUCAGCAAUUUCUCCGCCUGGGUGGGAGUUAUUUCGAGGGUUGUAUCAAUAAUGUUUUUAUCCAGAGGUGGGUGAUCUUUUCUCCAUGUGUAACUUCUGAGGACAGCCUGCCUGUGUAAAGGGUAUCUCAUUGAUCCAGUUAGCAAAGUCAGAUCGAUCAACAUGCUGUACCAGCCUCUCACACCGCAGACUCCCAAAAUACACUCUUUGGCAAGAGUCGUCCAUUAACAAACCAACCCACUAAAAAGCUCCUGACUUCAGCCUCCCUUUAGAAGGGCAACUUUGGCAUAUAACCUUGGAAAAGGUCUAACUAAAAUUAGCUUUCAGAUUAUGGUCCUGAAAAAAUAUUCACCCUGAAGUUUUAUUUCAUUUUAAUCAAGAU
rnacentral:lncRNA from 1 species